GCUGGUCUGAGGGCCAGGGGCUGCAGGCGUGGCUGGGCCGUGGCCUGAAGCGUGGGGGCGGUAGGUGUGGACAGGCCGUGGCCGGACUGAGCGCACAGUAGCUGCCCAGUGUGGAGAGGUUGUGUAAAGGGCAGCGGCUCAAGCACAGCCUCUCCUCUGCAGCCCCGCCCGGCAACCAGAGCCCUCGGAGGGACAUUCUGAUUGGCAUCCCAGUGGCCCUCGCGCUUCUUGUCCUCAUGCUCAUCCUCAUCUUCAUCCUCUGCCGCCGCAAAGACAGAAAUGAGGGCCGGUCCAAGCUCGAGGUGCCGGCCGAGUCCGCGUUCGGCUUUGCGAAGAGAGCAGGGCAGCCAGA